rnacentral:rRNA from 1 species
CUAUGCGCCUUGCCAGCCCGCUCAGGUGUGCCAGCCGCCGCGGUAAUACGUAGGGGGCAAGCGUUAUCCGGAUUUACUGGGUGUAAAGGGGGCGCAGACGGCGAUGCAAGCCAGGAGUGAAAGCCCGGGGCCCAACCCCGGGACUGCUCUUGGAACUGCGUGGCUGGAGUGUCGGAGAGGGAAGUGGAAUUCCAUGUGUAGCGGUGAAAUGCGUAGAGAUAUGGAGGAACACCAGUGGCGAAGGCGGCUUCCUGGUCUGCAACUGACACUGAGGCGCGAAAGCGUGGGGAUCAAACAGG